GACCUGAUGUUUUAGGUCAGAUCAUGACCAGUUUGGAGAGAUGCGGAGAAGAAGGAUAAAUUCGUGGAAAAGUUUUUCUCAGAGCAACAGGGUGAACAAGCUGUGAGCAUGGGAGAGUUUGGAAGGAUAUACUAUCUGAAGAGACUACCUUGUUCCAUGAAAAGCUGAUUCCGUAGGGUGUUUUAGGUUUCAUGGUGCAGCAGGAAGCACAGGUACUUCUGGAAUAAUACCAGGGCAUCAUUUAAUCAGUUAAUAAGUCUGGCUAACCUCUCCCUCCAGUGUGUUCCACUGAGAACAGUGGUUGGAACCAUUAGUUCAGAGAUGUCCCUUCUUAGGUCAGUUGUGACAUCACCUGAUGUAAUAACACUGCUUGCAGUUGUACACAUGCCCAGGUCUAGGUCUCUCUGACCUUGGCCCUCCUGCACAGUGUCACAGGCUGUCUGAGGACCUGCAGAAGUUUUAAGAGGAAGAACUUGGAGUAGAGUUAAAUACAAGUAAAGGGAACUGCAGGGAGUAAGUGACCAGUUGGAGCUGCAGACAAAGCUGUUAGGAAGAAAGCAGGAAAGCACAGAACAGUUUCAAAUGUGAAAUGUCUCAAAGAGAAAAGUGAGGCCCUGUGAGAGUAGAGGGAGUGCUAAUAACAGGGAAAUGUCAUCCUCCAUCCAGUCAUUCUGAGGGUGAUGUUUAAAAAAAAAGGAAAAAUCUGAAAAAUACGAUAUCUGUGUUCUGGUCAAAUUAUAGGAGAAACGAAUGUGGAGCAUCCUGACUGAGUUCCUCAAGCCUGUGCCUGAGGAAAAGUUUUAGAUACUCCAGAGAUCACUAAGGGUCAUGUUUUCAAAGGCAGAUGUGUCAGAGGAAGGAAGCAGGCAUACUGAGACUUUCAGAAGCAUUUUUGUAAGUCUUUUAUUUUGAUCAGCUGGAACUGAGCACUGAAAAUUGAGCCAGUGAUCUGCCUCAUUUGAUGUGUACCUAACUUGGCAAAAUUCUUACUGAGAUCCUUAAAGACAAAAAAUAAAAUCAGUCUGACAUGA